rnacentral:rRNA from 1 species
GGUGAACCUGCGGAAGGAUCAUUAUUGAAACAUUGUGAAGAAAGUUGAGCUGGCUCUUCAUGGGCAUGUGCUCGCUUUCUUUCAAUCUUCAUCCACCUGUGCACUUUUUGUAGAGGGGCUUAAGAACGGACGCGAGUCCUAGUAUUGGCUCUUCUAUGUUUUACACACUCUUAAUGUAUGUCGUUGAAUGUCUUUUAUAGGGACUUGAUUGGCCCUUUAGAAAACUAUACAACUUUCAGCAACGGAUCUCUUGGCUCUCGCAUCGAUGAAGAACGCAGCGAAAUGCGAUAAGUAAUGUGAAUUGCAGAAUUCAGUGAAUCAUCGAAUCUUUGAACGCACCUUGCGCCUCUUGGUAUUCCGAGAGGCAUGCCUGUUUGAGUGUCAUUAAAUUCUCAACCUCAUCAAGUUUGACUACUUUUUUGAGGCUUGGACGUGGAGGCUGCUGGCUCUCGCGAGUCGGCUCCUCUUAAAUGCAUUAGUGGAAAACCGUUUGUGGUCCACGUUGGUGUGAUAAUUAUCUACGCCACUGUUGAGACUGCAGGCUCUACAAGACUUCUCGGAUGUGAAAGUCCGGUCUGGAAAGCUGCAGCUAGCACCUGCUCUUUCUGAUCUAGUACGAGUCGAAGGCGUCCGCUUCAAACUGUCCUAAGUUACUGGACGAUAUUUGAACUCUUUGACCUCAAAUCAGGUAGGACUACCCGCUGAACUUAAGCAUAUCAAUAAGCGGAGGAAAAGAAACUAACAAGGAUUCCCCUAGUAACUGCGAGUGAAGAGGGAAAAGCUCAAAUUUAAAAUCUGGCAGCUUCGCUGUCCGAGUUG